CCCAUACCGAACACGGAAGUUAAGCUCUUCAGCGCCGAUGGUAGUCGGGGGUUUCCCCCUGUGAGAGUAGGACGCCGCCAAGC
rnacentral:rRNA from 3 species